AAAGGGAGAGAAGGAAAGAAGGCAUGCCCAGAUGCUGGCUGCCCUUCAAGGAAGCCCUAUGGCAAACCCCGAGUUCUUGAAGGACAAGGCACCAGGCAAAUGCCUAAUCUGUAGACAGACAGGACAUUGGUCCAAAGAGAGUCCAAACUGUGGCAAGUCUCCUAAAAUGGUUUGCUAUAAAUGCCAUCAACUGGGACAUUGGGUGGUGCUCUGCCCUAGGGACCCAAGAGUCUCAAGGUCAAGUGCCAAGCUUUUCCUCACGACGGUUCAACAGGAUUGAAACGGCCCCUCCAGCCAGCCCACCUGUCACAGAUAACCAUCACGUGGCACUGAAUGUGGCAGAAACUUUAGACCACUGGACAGAACCCUGAGGUACUGUCAGAAGAUCCUCUGACCAAUCCUGAGGAAAUCUGGUACACUGAUGGAAGCAGCUUUGUUUUGGAUGGAAAAAGAAGAGCUAGAUAUGCAGUAGUCUCCAAUUUCAAGACCAUAAAGGCUGAAUCUUUGCCACCAGUUACUUCAGACCUGUUGGCUGGACUCAUAGCCCUGACUUGAGCUUUAGAGCAGUUAAGAUACCAGAACACGACUCCUGGAUACACUAUGCACAUGUCAAGCCAUGGAAGAAAGCAGAAGAGGACGCUCAAUACACCUGUGAGCCCUGGGAGAUCUCAGAUAACUAUUCAAGACUACGAAUGAGUGUCACUCUAAUGAACACCCCAAAAGUAAGUUUCUGGGGAAGAGUCUCAGGAUAGCUAUAAAGAGCCAACACAGCUUGGCAGGGGUUGUACUCCAAAAUAGACAGGAGACAGAGCUCUUGAUCCCUGAACAAGGAGGAACUUGAGCCGUCUUGAAAGAGAUGUGUUGUUUCUGGGUAAAUACCUCCAGCCAAGUUAAAGAAAGUCUCACAGUCCUCAAGAAAAACAUUCAGAUCCUAUGGGAUCUCAAAGAAACGAGCUGGAGAGUUCUUGGGGUGUCUAUAAUCUCUCUUUGGGGGAUCCUUCUCCUGAUGAAGGAGAAUUUGGAGUUGGCUAAUGCCCCCUACUAAUCCCUGUUAUCAUCAUAUUUAUGCUGCUUAUGAUUGCUCCAUGUAUUAUCAAUUGUCUAACCCAAUUUGUCUCUGCCCAGGUCAAAAAGCUACAACAUGUAGUGCCAGUUCAACGAGGAUAUAUAAAACCAUACCCAACCAUGGAAAACAUCACUCACCCUUAGAGGGACACUGCUAUAAGGACUCUGAGGCUUGAGACUAGCAAGAAGGGAAGGCCCAAUGCCCAUCCCAGGCCCAGCACAGCAGGAAGUAGCCAGAGAUACCUCGACGGCCCUAUUCCCAAAGAUUUGGGCCUCCCAUUUCUUGAGGGGGGAAUUUUAGGUACUUAGAAUAGGAAGAAGAAGUCCAAAAUGGCAGUGGCUAAAAGACAAGGAAAGGGAAAGUCCUGUGAAAAUGGAACAAAAGAAAAUCCGUGGACAAGAGUGAGAAAUUCAGGUGAAACAAACACGUCCCCUUCUUGGCUAGCCCAAUUUGCAAAAGGCAGGCUCAGCAGGGAGGAGACUAAAUGUAUGAAAAGAUAAAGCCAGGACAGAUUGAGGCUCUCUCCCUUUGGGGUCAGCCUGCCCUCACACUUUGAGGGUAGACUAUCCUUUGCUUGCCGAUAAAACUGAGCUGAAACUGAGCUGUAACACUGGUCCACCAUUUCAAAUCUUUGCUGCGGUGAGGCAGAACUGAGGAAAUUACACACUCCCCCAACACUUUGGACUGAAAUUUGCCUUUUCCCCUGGGGACCGAUCCCCAGCCUUGGUAAGGGGACCCCAUGCCCUAGUUCAUUCUUCUUUGAGUAUUCUCUCUCAACCAUGUUGCAUCAUGUAAAGUUUUACUAUAUUUUACCAUUUAUCAUGGCUUUUACUUUUUGUUCA